rnacentral:rRNA from 1 species
AUUGAACGCUGGCGGCAUGCCUUACACAUGCAAGGCGAACGGCAGCACGGGAGCAAUCCUGGUGGCGAGUGGCGAACGGGUGAGUAAAGUAUCGGAACGUGCCCAGUCGUGGGGGAUAACGUAGCGAAAGUUACGCUAAUACCGCAUACGAUCUAUGGAUGAAAGCGGGGGAUCGCAAGACCUCGCGCGAUUGGAGCGGCCGAUAUCAGAUUAGGUAGUUGGUGGGGUAAAGGCUCACCAAGCCGACGAUCUGUAGCUGGUCUGAGAGGACGACCAGCCACACUGGGACUGAGACACGGCCCAGACUCCUACGGGAGGCAGCAGUGGGGAAUUUUGGACAAUGGGAGAAAGACUGAUCCAGCCAUGCCGCGUGCAGGAUGAAGGCCUUCGGGUUGUAAACUGCUUUUGUACGGAACGAAAAGGUUUGGCCUAAUAAGCUGAGCUCAUGACGGUACCGUAAGAAUAAGCACCGGCUAACUACGUGCCAGCCGCAGCAGUAA